rnacentral:rRNA from 1 species
UACGUAGGGUGCGAGCGUUGUCCGGAAUUACUGGGCGUAAAGAGCUCGUAGGUGGUUUGUCGCGUUGUUCGUGAAAACUCACAGCUCAACUGUGGGCGUGCGGGCGAUACGGGCAGACUUGAGUACUGCAGGGGAGACUGGAAUUCCUAGUGUAGCGGUGGAAUGCGCAGAUAUCAGGAGGAACACCGGUGGCGAAGGCGGGUCUCUGGGCAGUAACUGACGCUGAGGAGCGAAAGCGUGGGGAGCGAACAGG